rnacentral:misc_RNA from 1 species
GAUGAAGAAGCAGCGAAAUGCGAUAAGUAAUGUGAAUUGCAGAAUUCAGUGAAUCACCGAAUCUUUGAACGCACAUUGCGCCCGCCAGCAUUCUGGCGGGCAUGCCUGUUCGAGCGUCAUUUCAACCCUCGAGCCCCCCCGGGGGCCUCGGUGUUGGGGGACGGCACACCAGCCGCCCCCGAAAUGCAGUGGCGACCCCGCCGCAGCCUCCCCUGCGUAGUAGCACACACCUCGCACCGGAGCGCGGAGGCGGUCACGCCGUAAAACGCCCAACUUUCUUAGAGUUGACCUCGGAUCAGGUAGGAAUACCCGCUGAACUUAAGCAUACAAUAAGCGGAGGA